UUAUAUUUGUGACAAAAAUUUUUUUAUUGUUAUCCUAAUCAUUUUCUCGGCUAUAAAUACAAAAAAAGAUACAUACAAUAUCACAAGAAACUGACAUCACACUUUAAUUUCAAUUUUUUAUUUGUUAGCCGGAUAUUUAUACUUUCCAAUAAUCUAAGUAAUUAUAUAAUCUCAUACAUCCUUGUAUUAAUUAACAAACAUAGAUAAAGUCAAGUUGUAAUAUUAGUAAUACAUGACGUAAUUUGUUACUCGUCACCUAACAAUGGACAUCAUAUAUUAUAUAAAGGAAGACUUUACUCUCUCCUCUUUAUGCCACCUCAUCAAUUCAAACAUUCUCGUGUCUUUUCGUCCCAACCCGCUGUGUUUCAAUUGUGUUCGAUGUGCAUCCGUUUGAGUUUUAUUUUAUUUUUUUGGCCUUCGUGUUUCAAACUUAUGUGCAAAUCAGAUGGGCCUUUACACAAAUCAGGUCCUUUGUUAUUCCACGUAGUUGAAGUGUGGCAUUUCGCUUAGGGUUAACCCGUGUUCUUCUUCUUCGCCUCUCCAAAACCGAUGUUGCUUGUGUCUUCUCGAUCGCUCUUUCAACUUCUUCCAAAGAUGACGAAACAAUACCAGUUACCAAAUUUUCAUCUUAAAACUCUUCAUUAAUCUCUCAGACAUGAUCUCUAUUCUAUGAGAUUUCUGAUUCUGUAAGGCGGUGGAGGUUCAUCUAUAAAAAGACGGGCCGCUCCUCCUCCAUUGUUCAAGUCUGGUUGCUCUGUUUCUGGGAGGCUAGGAAUGUCCGCCGUGGUGGAGAGUUUAUGGGAGUGGUUAUGCUCCUAAUGGAUUCUCAGGCGACCAUGAUGCCGGCCCACCGUGAAUGUACACCGGCUUGCAACCCACAGGCCUCAUCUGAAAGCGGGUUCGGUUUGUUCCUUAACCGGGUUUGUUGUCACUCGAUGUAACCAAAACUCUCGACUGUCGGACUCUUCCCUGCAAAUCCUUUUUAGCGACUCAACCUCUUUCAAUGAGGUUCCGUAAUCACAGUGAAAUGAUCGGCCUUGCCAACGCAAACACUCAUCUUCCAGCCUAAUUGGUGAGAUAACUGUUGUGAAGAGUUCUGUCACCGACCCUCCUCAGGACAAGACCCAUGUUAUAGCGACCAUUAAGAUGGGAAAUCACAUGUCUGUGACCAUGAGUGUAACACCCCCGAACCGUUCUAGGCAUAGGUCGAUCGACCGGCCAACAAUCAAACAAGAACAUGACCGACGGACGACCCACACCAAGGGGUUGGAGAUGAAAGGCCAACCGGCC